rnacentral:rRNA from 1 species
UACGAACUGUGCGAACGUUAUUCGGAAUCACUGGGCUUAAAGGGUGCGUAGGCGGUUACCUAAGUCAGGUGUGAAAUCUCUCGGCUCAACCGAGAAACUGCGCUUGAUACUGGGUGGCUAGAGUGAGGUAGGGGUGUGUGGAACUUCCGGUGGAGCGGUGAAAUGUGUAGAUAUCGGAAGGAACGCCAGCAGCGAAAGCGGCACACUGGGCCUUUUCUGACGCUGAGGCACGAAAGCUAGGGGAGCGAACGGG